UGGGGAAUAUUGGACAAUGGGCGCAAGCCUGGUCCAGCCAUGCCGCGUGAGUGAUGAAGGCCCUAGGGUUGUAAAGCUCUUUCACCGGUGAAGAUAAUGACGGUAACCGGAGAAGAAGCCCCGGCUAACUUCGUGCCAGCAGCCGCGGUAAUACGAAGGGGGCUAGCGUUGUUCGGAAUUACUGGGCGUAAAGCGCACGUAGGCGGACAUUUAAGUCAGGGGUGAAAUCCCGGGGCUCAACCCCGGAACUGCCUUUGAUACUGGGUGUCUAGAGUUCGAGAGAGGUGAGUGGAAUUCCGAGUGUAGAGGUGAAAUUCGUAGAUAUUCGGAGGAACACCAGUGGCGAAGGCGGCUCACUGGCUCGAUACUGACGCUGAGGUGCGAAAGCGUGGGGAGCAAAACAGGAUUAGAUACCCUGGUAGUCCACGCCGUAAACGAUGGAAGCCAGCUGUCGGCAAGUUUACUUGUCGGUGGCGCAGCUAACGCAUUAAGCUUCCCGCCUGGGGAGUACGGUCGCAAGAUUAAAACUCAAAUGAAUUGACGGGGUCAUAGCUGUUUCCUG
rnacentral:rRNA from 1 species